rnacentral:rRNA from 1 species
UACGGAGCAUGCAAGCGUUAUCCGGAAUGAUUGGGCGUAAAGCGUCCGCAGGUGGCAAUGUAAGUCUGCUGUUAAAGAGUCUAGCUCAACUAGAUAAAAGCAGUGGAAACUACAUAGCUAGAGUACGUUCGGGGCAGAGGGAAUUCCUGGUGUAGCGGUGAAAUGCGUAGAGAUCAGGAAGAACACCAGUGGCGAAGGCGCUCUGCUAGGCCGUAACUGACACUGAGGGACGAAAGCUAGGGGAGCGAAUGGG